rnacentral:rRNA from 1 species
CCUACGGGGGGCAGCAGUGGGGAAUAUUGCACAAUGGGGGAAACCCUGAUGCAGCGACGCCGCGUGAGCGAAGAAGUAUUUCGGUAUGUAAAGCUCUAUCAGCAGGGAAGAAAAUGACGGUACCUGAGUAAGAAGCUCCGGCUAAAUACGUGCCAGCAGCCGCGGUAAUACGUAUGGAGCAAGCGUUAUCCGGAUUUACUGGGUGUAAAGGGAGCGCAGGCGGCCUUGCAAGCCAGGAGUGAAAGCCCGGGGCCCAACCCCGGGACUGCUCUUGGAACUGCGUGGCUGGAGUGCAGGAGGGGCAGGCGGAAUUCCUGGUGUAGCGGUGAAAUGCGUAGAUAUCAGGAGGAACACCAGUGGCGAAGGCGGCCUGCUGGACUGCAACUGACGUUGAGGCCCGAAAGCGUGGGGAGCAAACAGGAUUAGAUACCCUUGUAGUC